UACGUAGGGGGGCAAGCGUUGUCCGGAAUCAUUGGGCGUAAAGCGCGUGUAGGCGGUCCGGUAAGUCCGCUGUGAAAGUCGGGGGCUUAACCCUCGGAUGCCGGUGGAUACUGUCGGGCUUGAGUACGGAAGAGGCGAGUGGAAUUCCUGGUGUAGCGGUGAAAUGCGCAGAUAUCAGGAGGAACACCAAUUGCGAAGGCAGCUCGCUGGGACGUUACUGACGCUGAGACGCGAAAGCGUGGGGAGCAAACAGG
rnacentral:rRNA from 1 species